AUAGACCAGAGACUUGAUGAACUCAAAGUCAUCAGCAUUAACUCUGCUCCACUCGUGACAUGGUUUUUCAUUUUGGAUGCGUUUGCAGUUCAAUUCUUCACCGUACUGAUGGAAUAAAAUCGAGAGGUUAUUUGAAUUCUACGCUCCUCACGUCUGCAUGUGCGCUAUAGUAUGGUCGUCGUUAUGUUUCAUUCUCAUCUUUAAUAUUGAAAGUGACAACCAAAUUGGCUAAAAUGGUCUGGAGCCACUUUUUCUUUCUUUUUAUAAGCACUUAUAUGUGU